AGCUCUUCUAGCGUAUAUCGAAGUUGAUGCAGUUAAAAAGCUCGUAGUCGGAGUUGUUCGGGUUUUUUGGGGAGAAAAUACUGGUCUAGCAGCAAUGUUAGAUUGGAACCCACCCGAUUCAUUGGAUUAUGAAAGUGCAGGGUUUCGGCCUUGAUUACUUCUCUUCCACAUUUACUUUGAGGAAAUUAGAGUGUUCAUAGCAGUCGUUUUUGACUGAAUAGUUUAGCAUGGGAUAAUAGAAUAUGACAAUAUGUCUCUUCUAUGGUUCUUAAAGGCAAUUUUUUUGUAAUGAUUAAUGGGAGUGGAUGGGGCUGCCAGUAUUGCUGAGCUAGAGGUGAAAUUCUAUGAUUUCAGCAGGACUAACAAAUGCGAAAGCAUCCAGCCAGUACAUGUCCG
rnacentral:rRNA from 1 species